rnacentral:tRNA from 1 species
GCCUGACUGGCUCAAUCGGUGGAGCAUGUGACUCUUGAUCUCAAGGUUGUGAGUUCAAAUCCCACAUUGGGUG